rnacentral:rRNA from 1 species
AGGUGACCUGCGGAAGGACAUUACUGAGUGAGGGCCCUCUGGGUCCAACCUCCCACCCGUGUUUAUUGUACCUUGUUGCUUCGGUGCGCCCGCCUCACGGCCGCCGGGGGGCUUCUGCCCCCGGGUCCGCGCGCACCGGAGACACUAUUGAACUCUGUCUGAAGAUUGCAGUCUGAGCAUAAACUAAAUAAGUUAAAACUUUCAACAACGGAUCUCUUGGUUCCGGCAUCGAUGAAGAACGCAGCGAAAUGCGAUAACUAAUGUGAAUUGCAGAAUUCAGUGAAUCAUCGAGUCUUUGAACGCACAUUGCGCCCCCUGGUAUUCCGGGGGGCAUGCCUGUCCGAGCGUCAUUGCUGCCCUCAAGCACGGCUUGUGUGUUGGGCUCCGUCCCCCCGGGGACGGGUCCGAAAGGCAGCGGCGGCACCGAGUCCGGUCCUCGAGCGUAUGGGGCUUUGUCACCCGCUCUGUAGGCCCGGCCGGCGCCAGCCGACAACCAAUCAUCCUUUUUUCAGGUUGACCUCGGAUCAGGUAGGGAUACCCGCUGAACUUAAGCAUAUCAAUAAGCGGAGGAAAAGAAACCAACAGGGAUUACCUCAGUAACGGCGAGUGAAGCGGUAAGAGCUCAAAUUUGAAAGCUGGCUCCUUCGGGGUCCGCAUUGUAAUUUGCAGAGGAUGUUUCGGGAGCAGCCCCCAUCUAAGUGUCCUGGAACGGACCGUCAUAGAGGGUGAGAAUCCCGUAUGGGGAUGGGGUGUCUGCGCCCAUGUGAAACUCCUUCGACGA